UACGUAGGGGGCAAGCGUUGUCCGGAUUUAUUGGGCGUAAAGAGCUCGUAGGCGGUUUGGUAAGUCUGGUGUGAAAUCUCCACGCUCAACGUGGAGGGGCCACCCGAUACUGCCAUGACUGGAGUCCGGUAGAGGAGUGUGGAAUUCCCGGUGUAGCGGUGAAAUGCGCAGAUAUCGGGAGGAACACCAGUGGCGAAGGCGGCUUCCUGGCCUGUUCUUGACGCUGAGGCGCGAAAGCUAGGGGAGCAAACGGG
rnacentral:rRNA from 1 species